GACGAACGCUGGCGGCGUGCUUAACACAUGCAAGUCGAACGGAAAGGCCCUGCUUUUGUGGGGUGCUCGAGUGGCGAACGGGUGAGUAACACGUGAGUAACCUGCCCUUGACUUUGGGAUAACUUCAGGAAACUGGGGCUAAUACCGGAUAGGAGCUCCUGCUGCAUGGGGGGGGUUGGAAAGUUUCGGCGGUUGGGGAUGGAUUCGCGGCUUAUCAGCUUGUUGGUGGGGUAGUGGCUUACCAAGGCUUUGACGGGUAGCCGGCCUGAGAGGGUGACCGGCCACAUUGGGACUGCGGUAGGGCCCAGACGCCUACGGGAGGCAGCAGUGGGGAAUAUUGCACAAUGGGCGGAAGCCUGAUGCAGCAGCGCCGCGUGCGGGAUGGCGGCCUUCGGGUUGUAAACCGCUUUCGCCUGUGACGAAGCGUGAGUGACGGUAAUGGGUAAAGAAGCACCGGCUAACUACGUG
rnacentral:rRNA from 1 species